rnacentral:lncRNA from 1 species
AGUAUACAGUGGUCUUUAAAUGGUUUCAAAUGUCACUUAUCAAAAGGUAAUCAACCACAACUCAACCUUCUAAAUUCAAAUUCUUUCCUCAUGUACACUUUCUUGCAUCUUUUCUUGAUCUUUUGGGGUAAGGGUGAAAGUCCCUAUGUAAUUCUGUGCUGAGGUUUUGGUGAGUCUUCUCAUCUGAAACUUUUCUGCUGCUGUAUCAGCCCCCAGGUUUUCAAUGAAUUUCUAGACUCUUCUCUCAUUUCUGCACAGGAUGAUGUUGGGGUAAAAGGCAGCAGACGACUCUUGAGCUCUACUUGUCUGGUCUGCUAAGGAAUACUUAAUAUUUGUAUAUUCGUACCCUUUCCUCUUGUUUUUCUGCUCUUCUUCCGUCCUGCACUGGAGUGUUUCAAUACAAUGCUUGAUGAUCAUAUAGAUAAGACCAGUGCUGUGCCUCUGUUUGGGCCAGCCCUGAACUCUGAGAUCACACCAACUGAUGGUUUGAGGCAUGCUGCAGUUGGCAGCUUUUCCUCUGAAGAUGUCAAUAAGGAUAUCAAUCACAAUGGAUGCUCCUGUCUGGCCAGUUCCAGCACUGCAGAGGAACUGUCAGUUCUGCAUCCACAAUGCUCUCCUGCUCAUGGUGUACUUCCUCCAGGAAGUCCAACACAGCCCCGGGGUCACCAGGCACUCUGUGGCCUAGCCAGGUACAAAAAUGGUACUGCCAGACUGAUGUUUCCAUAUUCCCUUGUCCGACCUUUCAAAGUUUAAGUUCUCUUGACGUGCAGUUCUUUUACAGCAUAUGCAUCAGGUCAGUAUUUUACACAUUUACUCUUUCUUCUAUUUCUUUUGUUGUCAUGAAAAUCACUCCUGAUUUCUGGAAUACCAUCCACCAGAAGUCAUUCAUUGUGCUUUGCAGGUCCUGGGAAUCACCAGUGCUCUCAAUCUCGAUGUGUGUGACAGCUCCAUUUCUUCUUACGAAGAGUAUGAAGUCUCCGGGGUUUAUUUUACUAAGCCUUGCCAAAAACCUGCCAUCAACUCCUCGACAACAUAUUUUUUUUUGCCUCCACACCUGUGAUAUUUCGGUGAAACCAUCUCCAUUAUGUCAUGUUUCUCCCUCCCUGCGGGACGAACCCACUCCUUGCUCAGGCUCCGCGGGACCUGGUCACAUCGGGGUGGCCCGAGGGGGCCCGCUCGGGACUGGACGGGGGACAGAGCCAGCCCGCCUUGAGCAGAGCCCGGACGAAGCCAGGGGAUCCCUGAGGCAGUGCAGCCAUCUCCCCACCCCCCAGCCCAGCGAGCUCCUCCUCCCUCACGAUUUUAAUUUAUCAGAACACUGAAGUCUUAAAAAAAUAUAAAAGUCAGG